rnacentral:lncRNA from 1 species
CAGGUCCGCACAAUGAGCACAUAUAUGGUAGCAGAUAUGAUGGCCUAAAGGGGGAUACAGGACUUCUUACCUUUUUAUGGCUGAAUAGUAUUCUGCUAUGCAUAUGGACUACAUUUCCUUUUUCUGUUCAUCAGUUGAUGGCCAUUUUGGUAUCCCCAUGUCUUGACUACUGGGAAUAGAGAUACAGUGAACAUAGGAAUACAGACUAAAGGAGUUAUUUUGGCCUACAGCUGAAAAGGAUGGCAUCAUAAUAGAAAUGAGAGUUGGAUGGAUUAUCAGAUAUAGAGAAAAAGUCAUCAUAUUAGAUAAUAAGUGGGAAUCCCAGAUGUCUGUCAAUCAGAUCCAUACCUCCAAGACAAAGAAAAUAAAAAUCAAAAUGCACAGAGAACAAUACUGAUUUUCAUUAUUGAAAUAUUCAAAUGGUGACUGGGUUGUCAAAUUCAUCAAAGAAAUUAUAUAUUGACUGUGACACAGCUUUAUUGGUAAGUAAUUUCUUGCAUGUUUAUCCUUUUGAAAUUAUGAAUAACAAAGUCUAUAUAAUUUUAAAUUGUAAGAUAUUUUAGACUAAAUAUAUA